GGAAAAUUGAAAGAAAAAAUUUUGCAAGGAGGAAAGCAAAUAAAAGUAAAAAAAAAAUCUACAAAAAAAUUCCUUGACAAGCUGAAGGCUGAAAACAAUUCAUGCAAGCUGAACCCCCCCCCCCCUCCACUUUUCUAAUGGUUUGUCACUAAUGAAGCGGAGAAGAUAACUUUUUGUUACAUUUAACAGCAGGUGUGUACUUUUGUAUGAAAAUAUUGUG